UGACUGCGCGGUGUUCAUUAGCGUAUGCAACAGGAAAAUGUUCAGCAACAGAAAAGGAAGUCCAGGUAGACCCUCCCUGUUUGUGCGCUUUCUUCUGUUUGGUACCUAAUGAACAUGACCCUGUUGUAUGACCUCCAAGAGCUGCUGCUGUGAUUAGUCUGUACCAAAACCAUGGUGUUGUCUUCUGACAGGUCUGUCUUGUCCUGCAAACACAGAUUCAGGUUGAUGUGUUAGUCUAAACAGAUUCAGGUUGAUAUGUUAGUCUAAACAGAUUCAGGUUGAUGUGUUAGUCUAAACAGAUUCAGGUUGAUAUGUUAGUCUAAACAGAUUCAGGUUGAUAUGUUAGUCUAAACAGAUUCAGGUUGAUAUGUUAGUCUAAACAGAUUCAGGUUGAUGUGUUAGUCUAAACAGAUUCAGGUUGAUGUGUUAGUCUAAACAGAUUCAGGUUGAUGUGUUAGUCUAAACAGAUUCAGGUUGAUGUGUUAGUCUAAACAGAUUCAGGUUGAUGUGUUAGUCUAAACAGAUUCAGGUUGAUGUGUUAGUCUAAACAGAUUCAGGUUGAUGUGUUAGUCUAAACAGAUUCAGGUUGAUGUGUUAGUCUAAACAGAUUCAGGUUGAUGUGUUAGUCUAAACAGAUUCAGGUUGAUGUGUUAGUCUAAACAGAUUCAGGUUGAUGUGUUAGUCUAAACAGAUUCAGGUUGAUGUGUUAGUCUAAACAGAUUCAGGUUGAUGUGUUAGUCUAAACAGAUUCAGGUUGAUGUGUUAGUCUAAACAGAUUCAGGUUGAUGUGUUAGUCUAAACAGAUUCAGGUUGAUGUGUUAGUCUAAACAGAUUCAGGUUGAUGUGUUAGUCUAAACAGAUUCAGGUUGAUGUGUUAGUCUAAACAGAUUCAGGUUGAUAUGUUAGUCUAAACAGAUUCAGGUUGAUAUGUUAGUCUAAACAGAUUCAGGUUGAUAUGUUAGUCUAAACAGAUUCAGGUUGAUGUGUUAGUCUAAACAGAUUCAGGUUGAUGUGUUAGUCUAAACAGAUUCAGGUUGAUAUGUUAGUCUAAACAGAUUGAGGUAAUUUCUGUUAAAUAUUACAUUGGU